rnacentral:rRNA from 1 species
UACGUAGGGUGCGAGCGUUAAUCGGAAUUCCUGGGCGUAAAGCGUGCGCAGGCGAUUCUCCAAGUCCGUUGUGAAAGCCCCGGGCUCAACCUGGGAAUGGCAGUGGAAACUAGGGGACUUGAAUCUGGCAGAGGGGGGUGGAAUUCCACGUGUAGCAGUGAAAUGCGUAGAGAUGUGGAGGAACACCGAUAGCGAAGGCAGCUUACUAGGCUGUAACUGACGCUGAGGCACGAAAGUGUGGGGAUCAAACAGG